GUUGUUGCAACAGUUAACAUUUUCUAAGGCUCUCUUUUCUAUAGGGUUAUUUAAUCUAGUUGUUCUUCCAUAAUUCAUCAAACUAACAAGUUAUAUGAUACACAGGAUUCAGUAACUGUUGUAGGAUAUCCACUUGGUGGAGAUACAAUCUCUGUGACAAAGGGUGUGGUAUCACGAAUUGAGGUUAGUAUGCUCAUGGAUCCUCUGAUCUGCUUGGUAUUCAGAUUGAUGCUGCAAUAAACCCUGGAAACAGUGGUGGUCCUGCCUUCAAUGAUCGUGGUGAGUGUAUUGGUGUGGCAUUCCAGGUUUUCAGAUCCGAAGACACUGAAAAUAUUGGAUAUGUUAUUCCAUCCACUGUGGUU